rnacentral:rRNA from 1 species
AACGAACGCUGGCGGCAGGCCUAACACAUGCAAGUCGAACGCACCGCAAGGUGAGUGGCGCACGGGUGAGUAACACGUGGGAAUGUACCCUUUGGUUCGGAAUAACGUUUGGAAACGAACGCUAAUACCGGAUGAGCCCUACGGGGGAAAGAUUUAUCGCCAAAGGAGCAGCCCGCGUCUGAUUAGCUAGUUGGUGGGGUAAAGGCCUACCAAGGCGACGAUCAGUAGCUGGUCUGAGAGGAUGAUCAGCCACACUGGGACUGAGACACGGCCAAGACUCCUACGGGAGGCAGCAGUGGGGAAUAUUGGACAAUGGGCGGAAGCCUGAUCCAGCCAUGCCGCGUGAGUGAUGAAGGCCUUCGGGUUGUAAAGCUCUUUCGCACGCGACGAUGAUGACGGUAGCGUGAGAAGAAGCCCCGGCUAACUUCGUGCCAGCCGCCGCGGUAACAC